rnacentral:rRNA from 1 species
GAUGAACGCUAGCGGCAGGCCUAAUACAUGCAAGUCGAACGAGAUUAAGGAGCUUGCUUCUUAUGAAAGUGGCGCACGGGUGCGUAACGCGUAUGCAACCUACCUUAAUCAGGGGGAUAGCCCGAAGAAAUUCGGAUUAACACCGCAUAAAAACACAGGAUAGCAUUAUCCAAUGUUCAAAUAUUUAUAGGAUUAAGAUGGGCAUGCGUGUCAUUAGCUAGUUGGCGGGGUAACGGCCCACCAAGGCGACGAUGACUAGGGGAUCUGAGAGGAUGACCCCCCACACUGGUACUGAGACACGGACCAGACUCCUACGGGAGGCAGCAGUAAGGAAUAUUGGUCAAUGGAGGCAACUUUGAACCAGCCAUGCCGCGUGCAGGAAGACUGCCCUAUGGGUUGUAAACUGCUUUUAUCCGGGAAUAAACCUUUUUACGUGUAAGAAGCUGAAUGUACCGGAAGAAUAAGGAUCGGCUAACUCCGUGCCAGCCGCCGCAGUAACAC